rnacentral:rRNA from 1 species
UAACGCCCACAGAUCCGCAUGGAUCUGGACGGGAAAAGGUAUUUAUUCGCUUCAGGAUGGACUCGCGUCUAAUUAGCUAGUUGGUGAGGUAACGGCCCACCAAGGCGACGAUUGGUAGCCGGACUGAGAGGUUGAACGGCCACAUUGGGACUGAGACACGGCCCAGACUCCUACGGGAGGCAGCAGGUGGGGGAUAUUGCACAAUGGGGAAACCCUGAUGCAGCGACGCCGCGUGGAGGAAGAAGGUUUUCGGAUUGUAAACUCCUGUCGUUAGGGACGAUAAUGACGGUACCUAACAAGAAAGCACCGGCUAACUACGUG